AUCUGGAGAUUCCUGCCUGCCUGAGGCCUUUUGAAGGUCAAGAUACGCAGGAUACAUUUCCUGUAAGCGUCUAUUGAAGUGCUCUUCCUUUCUAUACAAGCGACUAGGUAUUGUAGAUAAACUCAAGACCAGAUCUACUACGAUGAUAUACAGGCUACAGAAAGGCCUUCUGUGGAACUUAAACCAACUCUAGUCAGAGGCAGAUGGGCAGUUUGACAAUAUGGCAUAUGGAAGUGCAUAUGAAGCAAAGUAUCUAAAAAUGUGAGGAUGCAGAAAAAAACUUCAACUCCUGGUGGAAAAGCAUGACUAGAAUGCAUAGUUGGGAAGCAAGUGAAGCUCCUUAAUACUUUGCUGCCAUCGUGUGGCUGAAGAGAUAAAUAAAACAGGGAGGAAGAUCAGCUAACAGGCCUGAGUAACCUGACGGGAAGACAGAGGAGCUUGCAUAGAAAAUGAAGAUAAGUAAUAAUUUGCCAAUAAGCUGAAUGACUGGAGAGCAAUACUGAACUAUUUUUUGGUCACUGCCCUUUCUUGAUAACUCUCUAAGACACCAGUGUUUAAACAGUGUCAUCUCCAGGCAACAUUUAUCACCCCUUCAGCUAGCAGAAGUAUGGAUUUCAUUCAAUACUUUUCAGCACAAAGCUCUAAAAAAUAGUUCUACAACUCCACCAGUAGUUUGCUCUUCAAAGAAAAACCAGAAAUACCGGAUUUUAGUGUCACAGCAGCAUUUAUCUUGACAAAUCUAAAGCUGCUGAACAGCCAAUUGAAAUUUGAUAAAGGACAAUAAACUAUGGCAGCAUUGCUGUGUUAAUACUGGCCAUAGUCCACUACACAAGACAGUUAAAGAGAAUUAAUGUCAUCUAAUUUUCAGUGCCAACAACCAUCAUGGCCAGAAUUUCCUCUGUAAGACUGAUGAGUAAUCUUACCUUCCUUAUGAAGUUCAUUUCUAUGUCACUGGUGCCAAAUGAGUCCAUAGAACUUUCAAUGAACUCGUAAGGAGAUGCCCAAAAUCUAGAGGAAAGAUUAGUUAGACAGAAGGAAAAAUUAUCUGAAGGGGAUGUCGGAAAAAAAUCAACUAUGAGAAAAUAGCUUAAUGCGGUUAAUAUAUGUUAUUUCCCUAAGAAAGAAUUUGUUUAGUUCUCAGAAGCCUUUUCAAAAAUUGUUAUUUAUCUUUUGGUCUAAAACAUAGUUUUCUCAGUACAUACUUAACAAUUUACAGUGCUAUGGUACAAUGGUCUUUUACUCUUCUGCCUUCUCUUAAUUAGAAAAUGAGAAAUUACAAAUGUUGAACACUGUAAAGUGUUUCUACAUCGCUUUCUGAUAGAUAUUUUGAGCAGUCAUUCUGGGAGAUUUAUGGUUGAUAUUGAGCUUGUUUUUUGGUGAGACUCAAGUCAGAGGGGACUUUGUUCUUAAAGAACAUUUCAAUCCCAGCAUGGUAGUAUGGAUAUCACUGGAUUUUGUCUGGUUUAGAUAUUCAUUUAUUGUACACAUUCGUAUUGUACACAGAUAAGAAGUACAUCGACAGACUGAAUACUCAAGUAUUCUGUUCCAUGAAAAUAACGGUUUCCAAAUAUUGCCAAAUUACAUUAUGUUUCUUAUGUAACAUAUGAUCAAAAGCCAUAUAUCACUUUUAAAUUUUCAAUGGAUUCUCCCCUACGUACAAUUUUCUUCUAUAAUUCGACUUGCAUGUUCAUGAGCCACUUCUUUCGCAGAUAAAAUCCAAUGUCU
ensembl:lncRNA